rnacentral:rRNA from 1 species
AGUGAACGCUGGCGGCAGGCCUAACACAUGCAAGUCGAACGGCAGCACAGGAGAGCUUGCUCUCUGGGUGGCGAGUGGCGGACGGGUGAGGAAUACAUCGGAAUCUGCCUAUUUGUGGGGGAUAACGUAGGGAAACUUACGCUAAUACCGCAUACGACCUACGGGUGAAAGUGGGGGACCGCAAGGCCUCACGCAGAUAGAUGAGCCGAUGUCGGAUUAGCUAGUUGGCGGGGUAAUGGCCCACCAAGGCGACGGUCCGUAGCUGGUCUGAGAGGAUGAUCAGCCACACUGGAACUGAGACACGGUCCAGACUCCUACGGGAGGCAGCAGUGGGGAAUAUUGGACAAUGGGCGCAAGCCUGAUCCAGCCAUGCCGCGUGGGUGAAGAAGGCCUUCGGGUUGUAAAGCCCUUUUGUCCGGAAAGAAAAGCAUUCGGUUAAUAACCGGGUGUCAUGACGGUACCGGAAGAAUAAGCACCGGCUAACUUCGUGCCAGCAGCCGCAGUAACAC